rnacentral:rRNA from 1 species
AUUGAACGCUGGCGGCAGGCCUAACACAUGCAAGUCGAACGAGUGGCGGACGGGUGAGUAAUGUCUGGGAAACUGCCUGAUGGCGGGGGAUAACUACUGGAAACGGUAGCUAAUACCGCAUACCAUCAGAUGUGCCCAGAUGGGAUUAGCUAGUUGGUGGGGUAACGGCUCACCAAGGCGACGAUCCCUAGCUGGUCUGAGAGGAUGACCAGCCACCGUGGAACUGAGACACGGGCCAGACUCCUACUGGAGGCAGCGUUGGGGAAGAUUGAAAAAGGGGCGAAAGCCUGAUGGAGCCAUGGCGCGUGUAUUAAAAAGGCCCUCGGGUUGUAAAGGACUUUCAGCGGGGAGGCGUUACCCGCAGAGGAAGCACCGGCUAACUCCGUGCCAGCCGCCGCUGUAAUAC